rnacentral:rRNA from 1 species
GGUUAAGUUAAUAAGGGCGCACGGUGGAUGCCUUGGCACUAGAAGCCGAAGAAGGACGUGACAAACGACGAAAUGCUUUGGGGAGCUGUAAGUAAGCGCUGAUCCAGAGAUGUCCGAAUGGGGGAACCCACUAACUAAUGGUUAGUAUCCAUAACUGGUUAAGGUUAUGAGAAGGAAGACGCAGUGA